UACGUAGGGUGCAAGCGUUGUCCGGAAUUAUUGGGCGUAAAGAGCUCGUAGGCGGUCUGUCGCAUCGAAUGUGAAAACCCGGGGCUCAACCCCGGGCCUGCAUUCGAUACGGGCAGACUAGAGUUCGGUAGGGGAGUCUGGAAUUCCUGGUGUAGCGGUGAAAUGCGCAGAUAUCAGGAGGAACACCGGUGGCGAAGGCAGGUCUCUGGGCCGAUACUGACGCUGAGGAGCGAAAGCGUGGGGAGCGAACAGG
rnacentral:rRNA from 1 species